rnacentral:rRNA from 1 species
GACGAACGCUGGCGGCGUGCUUAACACAUGCAAGUCGAACGAAGUGGCGAACGGGUGAGUAACGCGUAAUCAACCUGCCCUUCAGAGGGGGACAACAGUUGGAAACGACUGCUAAAACCGCAUACUGAAGGAGGGGAUUGCGUCGGAUUAGCUAGUUGGAGGGGUAACGGCCCACCAAGGCGAUGAUCAGUAGCCGGUCUGGUAGGAUGGACGGCCACAUUGGGACUGGGAAACGGCCCAGACUCCUACGGGAGGCAACAGUGGGGAAUCUUCCGCAAUGGACGGAAGUCUGACGAAGCAACGCCGCGUGAGUGAUGACGGCCUUCGGGUUGGAAAGCUCUGUUAAUCGGGACGCGGUACCGGAUUAGAAAGCCACGGCUAACUACGUGCCAGCAGCCGCGGUAAUUC